UUGAAAGAAGCCAAAAAGCGGCAGAUCAUUGUUACUGAUUAAAUUGGGAAGUUAUCCUCUUUCAAU
rnacentral:tRNA from 1 species